rnacentral:rRNA from 1 species
UACGUAGGGUGCAAGCGUUGUCCGGAAUUAUUGGGCGUAAAGAGCUCGUAGGCGGUCUGUCGCGUCUGCUGUGAAAACUCAGGGCUUAACCCUGAGCUUGCAGUGGGUACGGGCAGACUAGAGUGGCGGUAGGGGAGACUGGAAUUCCGUGGUGUAGCGGUGAAAUGCGCAGAUAUCGAGGAGGAACACCGGUGGCGAAGGCGGGUCUCUGGG